UGGUUUUGACAUCAGCUUGAUUUGGACCUUGCCUACUGACCCUGAAACCUGUCUUGGACUCUGGUCCUUCAUAUUGAUGCUGGCCUGGAACUUGACUACAAACUCCUCUGUGAGUCUCAGCUGCAGGUUUGACAACUAUUUUACUCCAAAAGGCUGAUGGGGGAUACUUAGCAACGCUGUUCCCACGACGACCCACGUCCAGUUCUCGCCAUUUGCGUUUGCAGCGAGGAACAUGUGCAUCUCUGAUGUGAUCGUCUAGCCUUCCCUUGUGUCUGAAGGAACUCAUGCAAGUUCUCACAGGGCUCAGCACAACGGAGCCUCGAUUGUGUGACACAGAUCCAGGGACUCCAAUAGCGUCAUCGGCUCCGCUCUCUGGACACGGGACACACCUCUGAGAGCUGGGACCAUCCACGAGAAUUUCAGGAGAGGGGGAAGAUGACGAGGAGAGUCAGGGGUGUGUAGGACAGAGCCCAGCUGGAGCCCAGCAGUCCAGGGUUCAGCUGGGAUUCCUGGGACCUUUUAAUUUUUUUUUUUCAAGAACUGUCUAUAAAAAUGUAUCAAUGUUUUUAGUGACAAUAUGGGAACAGAGGUUAGGGUGAUGGGCAGCAUGAUGGAUGGGCAUGUGACAAAACGGGAGAGAUGCUGCACAGUGAAUAGGUGCCUGCCUUGCUCCCCAGUAACCAAGUGAUAUUGAGUGGAAGUGGGGAUGUUUGUGUGAAAUCAUGAAGAGUGUCUUGCCGUGGAGCUGGGGAUGGACUAGGUGACUGAAGAGACCCCUUCCAGCUUCAAUAGCUGAGGAUAAAUAUUAUUAUUAUUAUCGCUUUUCAGCCGUCAUUCU